AGGUUUUCAGUGUUUGGGUUCCAAGUUGUUUGAGUACCAAGGUGUUUGAGAACCAAGGUACCACUGUACAGGUUUUACUUCACAAUCACAUUAGUCUGCAUGAUAAUUCCUAGCAUUCCUUGUGAAUUCUCAAGUCUUCCUGUGAUUAGCAAAGUAUAAUGUUUAGCAGGAGGCUUGCAAACAAUUAAGCUCCACAUUUGUCCAGCCAAAGUAUAUAUUAAAAAAUAACAUAUAGUACAUCUCUCCUGUAAUCAUACGACUUCAGAAUGUAAUGGGAAAAUGCAUCGUUGAAAGCUUCUCUGUGUAAAAAUCAUAAUAAAAUCAUUGCACAUAGAAAACUAGCAAGUAAGUAUGAAGGGUCCUAGCUUAGCCUUCUUCCCAGUAUGCUAGUUUUUCCCAUUUAGAAUGGUGUUGUUGUUUGUUUGCUUCCUUGUAUUUUUUAAAACAAACAAUCAAGCAUGCCAUUCUCUCAUCUGCGUUCUGAAAUGGUACUGUCCCAGGAGACUUACUCUAAUUUCUGUACUAGUUGUGAAGUACACUGAAUAACAGUAGCAUCUCUGUAUUUUAAUGGUGAUUCAUACUGGGCUAAUUUCUAUGCCUCUCAGGGUGCUUACAGAUGUGGGCUUAAUAUUACAAAAAGGCUAUUGAGACAUUGCAAAUAGGGCAUUGUAACUUGCUGGAUUUUCCCUUUUCUGGAAAAUCCUGAUUAAAGGUGGGAGGAGGAAAUAUGGAGCAAUAUUUUGAUGUCAAUAGCAUUGUAUUGCAUGCACAAUGAACACCAUUCCCCCAUAAACACCUGUCUGGAAGCAA